AAUUACACUACUCCGUAGGGGAUACCAGGAUCUUUUAACAUUAUUACAAAACUAUUCACAGUACUCAGUGGAAGUGACAAAACCUAUUUUCACUGUCUACAGAUCAACUAUUUCAAGAUAAACAGUGUUUGUUUGACAGAUUUUUCAUAGAUUUGGAAUUAAAGUUAUAAUAAUGGGAUUUAAUACGACCAAGGUGUUUUUCCAUUCUUCUUUUUCAUUUCCUGCAAGUAACAAGUUAAUAACUGAUAAAAGUAUUUUUUUUGUUUUCGUAAUAGUUAUUUGAUGAAAAUGCAGCAUGUUGUCUUGACUGAGUCUUAUCUUACAGGUAGAUUUGCGAGUGUAAUUAAGUAUUAUUAUAGAAAUUUCAUCAAGGAAAGCAAUCCUGCAAGGCAAGAGUAAUUUACAUUACAGCUUCAUUAACGACAGAAUGACAGCCUGAAAUGCCAUGUAAUUAUAUGAACUGCCAUGUCUGUGUGUUCUGCAUGCAAGUCAUAUAUACUUAUAUCUAUAUCAAUAGACAGAAUUAAAUGGAGAUAUCUUUAUUUAGUUCAGAAUCACAAUUGCUAAUACUAGAUAGAUCAGAUUGCAUAAAACAACAGGAGACAUAGAGCAAAGGAAAAAGAUGGAGAAAAGAUGGAUUUAUCAGCUGUUCAUUGCUUAACAUUCAGUGGCAAAUAUUUCACAGGCAGCAUCAAAGAGAUCAUAAGGUACCAUGGGCUAUUCAACACCAGAGGACUACUGAUUGAUCAGACAAGAGACAGAUAUUUAUUGCCAUUGAGGGAGAAAUAAUGUAUUCCAAGUUUUACAAAAUUGUGAAUCAGAAAAUGUAAAGAUAAAACGAAUCAUUAGGGUCAAUACAAGCAUUCUCCAUUUAAAUUGGAAAUAUGUGUUCAAUUUAUUACAUUAUCAUAUAACAAACAGUCAACAGCUUGUUACAAGGAGCCCUCAUAUCUAAACAAGGAUUUCCAAUUUACCAAAAGGAAAAGCACACCAGGUAUUCUGACAAGACAUCUAAAACGACGUGACAAUUAUAUGACAUGAAAUAUCAAACAAUGGUAUUAAACCCGACUCUAAAUGAUAAAUUUUUCAAAAGCUUUGAUAUUGGUGGACUUUUUCUGUAACCGAGAGACAAUCUGUUAUCCAAAUAAUCAACACCAAACUCAUUUUAGUAUUAAUUUUCAAAUGGUAGUUAAUAGUCCGUGUUCACCAGAUACUGCACUGCUUUGAGAUAUGUCAUGUCUCCAUUUUCUUAAUCUGUUCGUUUAAUAAAAACACAAGAAAUUCAUUGUAACGCAGGAUAUUACCGAGGAUCAGCAGGCUAAACAAUCUCUAAACUUAAUGACAUUGCCUUGGCACAGACAACAAAUUUUCAUAAGCAAUUUUCUACUGUCAACAUGCAAUUACAUUGAAAUAUCCUCCAUCAUGUGGGAAUAGAGAGUGGAUUUUAGUUAUGUGAUUACUCUAUUGUAAUUGUGAAGGACUGUUAUAAUUCUUCUUCAUUAGACAAUAUUUACAAUGGAAUGUUUAACAAGGGAACAAUUUCACAGAAGAAUUGCAUUACUAGGGGAGAUAACUGUCUGAAGAAACCACCAGGGAGAAAUGGAUACAAAUGAAGAACAUUAUAGCAAUAUGAAUUCUACAUUAGAAGACAAACAAGUCAACAUUGUGUUUGGACAUAAAAACCAAUGUCUGACUGGUUUUUUGUAAUAAAAAUUUGUUUUUAUUACAUUAAUAUGGAUGUCUGUCAGUGCAACAUGCAAGUUAGUGAAUUUACAAGCCAGCUGGAAGACUGAAAUAUCUAGUACUAUGAUUAAAACAAACUGUUUGAGUGAAGAGGUGUGCUUAAGAGCCGUUCUUUACCAGACAUGGCCAUUGUAGAUUAUGUAGCUAUGAGGAUUUUUCGAUGAAUAAGAAUUUCUAAUAACACUAUAAUAAAUCUAGCUGAAGGAUUUAUUCAGACCGAACAGACUAAUAUUUGGUGCAGAUUUUAUUAUAAAUUGGAAUGUUUACAUUGUGAACUAAGUACAAUGCAUAUAGAUGGGAGAUAUCGGAAACCACAAAGUACAUUUGGCGACAUUUUUUCUAUAUUGAUGUCACAAAAGUCAGUGACAAAUUGACAUAAUAAACGUCAUUAUGGUUAUUAUAAUCUUCCCGAUUUGUUCAGGACACAGUGAUUAUUUCAUAAUGCUAUCAGUCAUGCUGUAUAUGUGUAUAUGCAUAGCAAAGAAGCAGGACCUCAAUGGAACAGGAAAUUCGAAAUUCUAUCAGGAUGUGGAUACAGAAGCCACCGGAAUACAAGCAUUUAUGACAUUCUGUAUGCACCCUAGCAGUGAAACAGAAAUGGAUAAUAACAGACUGAAAAUCUCGUCUAAGAACCUGAUCAUCACAGACAAGAAGAAAGGAUACUCCAUGGAGAGAAGCAAGAAAGUGAAAGUUAAGACUGACAAUGGGUAGAAUUGGUUCAAUUAGGUUGGGAAUUUACGAGUGUCAAGUGAUGAUCACGUCUUGUCAUCAAUGAUAUGGUGAGAUCAUACAACAUCAUGGAAUACAACAUGACA